rnacentral:rRNA from 1 species
AGCUAUGUUGGGACUGGAUAAACGCUGAAAGCAUCUAAGCGUGAAGCCAACCUCAAGAUGAGAUUUCCCAUAGCGUAAGCUAGUAAGACUCCUGGAAGAACACCAGGUUGAUAGGUCAGAGAUGUAAUCAUGGCAACAUGUUAAGUUGACUGAUACUAAUAAGUCGAGGGCUUGACCAAAUAA